rnacentral:rRNA from 1 species
AUACGUAGGGGGCAAGCGUUAUCCGGAUUUACUGGGUGUAAAGGGAGCGUAGACGGCACUGCAAGUCUGGAGUGAAAGCCCGGGGCUCAACCCCGGGACUGCUUUGGAAACUGUGGUGCUAGAGUGCAGGAGAGGUAAGUGGAAUUCCUAGUGUAGCGGUGAAAUGCGUAGAUAUUAGGAGGAACACCAGUGGCGAAGGCGGCUUACUGGACUGUAACUGACGUUGAGGCUCGAAAGCGUGGGGAGCAAACAGGAUUAGAUCCCCUGGUAGUCCACGCCGUAAACGAUGAAUACUAGGUGUUGGGGAGCAAAGCUCUUCGGUGCCGCCGCUAACGCAAUAAGUAUUCCACCUGGGGAGUACGUUCGCAAGAAUGAAACUCAAAUGAAUUGACGGGG